GUUUGUUUGUGGGAGUUUAGUUCUUUAACAUUUCUCAGGAAUGCACCAAACUGCUCAUAAGACAAGCGGCUCCUGAUGAAACAAGUUUAUGGGUGAGACGAAGCUAGGCAAAACCUCAAAGCUGGUAAUAUAAAUUGAGAAUCAUGAACAAG